rnacentral:rRNA from 1 species
CCUACGGGUGGCUGCAGUGGGGAAUUUUCCGCAAUGGGCGAAAGCCUGACGGAGCGACACCGCGUGGAGGACGAAAUUUUUCGGAAUGUAAACUCCUUUUGGCAGGAAUGAAACAAAUGACAGUACCUGCAGAAUAAGCAUCGGCUAACUACGUGCCAGCAGCCGCGGUAAUACGUAGGAUGCAAGCGUUGUUCGGAAUUACUGGGCGUAAAGAGUACGUAGGCGGCAAUGAAAGUCUGAUAUUAAAGACUGGGGCUUACGCUCAGGAGUGUAUCGGAAACUUCAUAGCUAGAGGACAGUAGAGGAAGUCGGAAUUCCCAGUGUAGCGGUGAAAUGCGUAGAUAUUGGGAGGAACACCAGUGGCGAAAGCGGACUUCUGGGCUGUUACUGACGCUGAGGUACGAAAGUGUGGGGAGCAAACAGGAUUAGAUACCCGAGUAGUC